GAUGAACGCUAGCGGCAGGCUUAACACAUGCAAGUCGAGGGGCAGCAUAAACAUUGCUUGCAAUGUUUGAUGGCGACCGGCGCACGGGUGCGUAACGCGUAUGCAACCUACCCAUAACAGGGGGAUAACACUGAGAAAUUGGUACUAAUACCCCGUAAUAUUAUGAAAGGCAUCUUUUAUAGUUGAAAGUUCCGGCGGUUAUGGAUGGGCAUGCGUUGUAUUAGCUAGUUGGUGAGGUAACGGCUCACCAAGGCGACGAUACAUAGGGGGACUGAGAGGUUAACCCCCCACAUUGGUACUGAGACACGGACCAAAACUCCUACGGGAGGCAGCAGUGAGGAAUAUUGGUCAAUGGACGAAAGUCUGAACCAGCCAAGUCGCGUGAAGGAUGAAGGUUCUAUGGAUUGUAAACUUCUUUGUCUGAGGGUAAAAAAGCGGACGUGUCCGUUCUUGCAAGUAUCAGACGAAUAAGCAUCGGCUAAACUCCGUG
rnacentral:rRNA from 1 species